ACAAAACUUUGAAUUUUUUAUUUGUGAAAUUAAAAAUAUGGUAUUAUAUAUAUAUAAACUUCUAUUCCUCUAUAAAUAUAGAUGAUUUUGUGAUAGUGAACAGAAUAAAUGUAUACCAAAUUCAAAGACCAAUAUCAUUUUAGCGUAUGACAGACAUAGAUAAAUUUAGGUCCUAAGUACCGGCAUUUUGAUAAAUUCUUAAAGUUUAAAACAAUACAAUCAGGAGGAUUGCUUUUCUCCUCUUCUUCACAGAGAACUAAAGUGAAUAUUUUUAAAUGGCUUUGAAAGAUUUACAUUUGACACAUUUCUGUAAAUCCAAAAGAGGAGCACACAGGAUUUAAUGCAGUAGACCUGCACACAUUUUCCCUUUAGCAUGCAUGCCCAUAUUUUGUUUAUUUCAGGCGCUAUCUCCCCGUCAAUUAUUCCACCUUCUUUACCUCCUGAAAUCUUACCAGGUUAUUAUUGGUGGUGUGAAUUGUUCCCCCCUCAGAAUGUGCUGCUGAAUAAUAAUCGUAAUAAAAUGUUGAAAGUGUACAACUUUUACAUUUUAAAGUUUCUGAUAUAUGUCUAGUUAUUUGAUUAAAAAUAAGAAAAUAGCACUUCAUUUUGAGGAAGUCCAUGACACUGAAAUAUCCUUCAAGUUUUCAAUUUCUGUUUACGUUUUGCUGUCUUGUUAAGGAAAGCAAACAUCAACUCCUUAACAAAGCUUUCCAGGUGACCUCAACAUUUCCAUUUUACAGACCGGUAAAAUCUAAGCGCAGGCUGUCUCAUUCUCAAAGGCAAGGUUGCCAGGCAUCCGUAUGCAAUUAGAAUUAACAUUUUAUAACCCAUAUCUUCAGUCUCUUCCAACCCACACAAAGCUUCAUGCUUCUUCCCAAAUCUCAGUAACCACAUCUUUCCAUGACGCUGGCCAAACCCAUACCAGGUUUUAGACACUAGAGAAUGAAAUGAGCUCACCCCUCAAAAAUUAGACUUCAAAAAGUUUGGCAUUGGUUAUCUCACUCACCCUGUAACCAACUAAGGUGGGAGAAGGGAGUGUCUGGGCGUUGAAGGUGACCGUGGAGGGAGGCUGAGACUGCCAGCGCCCACACCCGUGGGCCCCCAUGAAGUUGGAGGAAAGUUCUGGACAGUUAAAAAUCCAGCUUCAGGAAGUCGAAGGGACGGGCCUUCGCAAUCCACCGCCGAGCAAGGGAGGAAUUGUAAUGUAUGGGGGCCCUCCUCCAGAUUUGGAAGGUUUGUGGAGUUCUGUACCUUAAGAGCCCCUACCUCAAGCCAGGAAAGAAAGGGAGGGGACAGAAGGAGGGGGAGGGGGCAAAAGGAGGAGGCGGGAAGUGACCCUGGCAGCGCAGCCCUAGUCGCACCCCGCAGUGCUGAACUCGCCCCGGAGCUGGCGCCCAGCCGUCCCGAGCACCCGUGGUAGGGAGAGGCGCGCGAGGACGACCAGGAGCGCUGUGCGGUUGCACACCAGUUUUAGCUCCUUUGCAAUACUCCGAAAAGGGCAAGAAGGAAAAGCCUCAAAUGGUUAAACCGCCCUAAAUAAUUAAAAACUUUUGAAAAAGAAAAACGCGUGAUCGGUCGUCAUUUAAAUACAAAUAUACUUACAAAAAUCUUACACAGGCUAUUUACAAUCAUAAAAGCGAACAGUCCUGGUACCAGAGUGUGAGGGCAAGAGGUCUGUCCAUCCUCCCUCUGGCAGUCGGGCCCUCGUGUCCUUUUGCCUCAGGGACGGAAGCUUUUGCAGGAGCUGAGUUGUUCAAAGGAGCCUGCGAAAGAGAGUUGUCUAGUGAGGAAACCUCGAGAUGUCAGGAUUGGCACGAACUCCACGGCGCUGGCUUUGGGGGAUCGCUGCGCCCCGGCCGAGGCCUGGGCAUGGGCUGAGCCCCGGGUCUCAGACUGUAGUCUCCCCUUGUUUGCUGUUGGUGAGCCUCGUGUAGAACUUCCUCCAGGAGUUGAGGGUCUUGCCGGACCAGAUCCAGAAGCCCGACGUGAUGCCCACGAUCAGCGUCAUAAGGUACUUAAUCAUGAAGACCGUGAAGUCCGGGCUCAUGGGCGGGUGCGGCGGGGCGCCUCCGCCCGCCUGGAGGUGAGGGCAGGGGAUAGCGUAGCUCUUGCAGCUCUGGGCCACCCAGCUGCGUUCCCACUGGUCCCGGAAGGCCUGCUCGUAGAAGUAGCAGGCGAUGACGAUGGUGGCCCGGGACUUCUUAGGCGCCUCCUCCUCAGCCAUACUUUCUCGGCUCCUCUCUUGGCGCCGCUCCGCUGGGGCUGCCAGGGGCACGGCCGGCGGCGGCUCCCCCUGCGGCCAGGGAGACCUCUGCGCGGGUGCCCUCCGUCGAGCCCAAGCCGCUUUCGGCCCGCUCCCCCGGCUCCUGUUCUGCGUACCGCAGCCGCCGCCGCCGCGGAAACUUGCGAUUCAUGAAGCGCGGGCGGCGGGGAGAACCCGGGUGGCUAGGGCGCGCCGGGGUCGUGUCCCGCCUUCCUGGCCCUCGGCUCGCUGGCUCCCGGCUGGCGGCGCCGCGCUAGUGGCCGCGGCCCCGUAGAGAGCGCAACUCUCCGCAGCCCAGCGGGCUCGGCUCCCCCCUGCGCCUCCGCCUCCUUCUCCGCCGCCGCCGCCUGACCAUUUGUGUCAAUCCCUCAACUCGCUCCCUCUCCUCUGCCUCGCGCGCCCUCGGACCGGUUUCCAGGCGCCCCGUAGUCUGUCUUUCACCAGGAGGGAGGAGCCUUGAAACCGACGCAGAACUGGA
rnacentral:lncRNA from 1 species